UACGGAGGGUGCAAGCGUUGUUCGGAUUUACUGGGCGUAAAGCGCGCGCAGGUGGGUGAACAAGUCGGAAGUGAAAUCUUGAGGCUCAACCUCGAGGCUGCUCCCGAAACUGUUCGCCUAGGGACUGGUAGAGGCUGGUAGAAUUCCCGGUGUAGCGGUGGAAUGCGUUGAUAUCGGGAGGAACACCCAUGGCGAAGGCAGCAUACUGGCCGGCAUCUGACGCUGAGAUACGAAAGCCAAGGGAGCAAACAGG
rnacentral:rRNA from 1 species